rnacentral:lncRNA from 1 species
UCCAAAAGGAACAGGGGAUAAAUACCCUUGUAAGACAGUUGGCCUCAUUUUGUGGAUGUGAAUUCAAUGGCUCACAGCUCCAUUCUACUCAUCCUGGCUCCGGCUUAAGUUUUAAAAACUAAUUCUCUCUGCAUUAAUCUGAAAAGAUCCUUCAAACAAAAGCUCAACAUCUGAGUCUAUUUACCGAGUGUGCAGCUGUGUCAAUUGGCCAAGACAAAGCGAAGGCUUCCUGGUCAGCCCACAAUGGGCGGCAGGUAGUCUUGCAAACAGAGAAACACAAGGCAGGGGCCUUUCACGAGUCAGCAAACCUCCUUCCAACAAGGAAGAGCUGGAGCAGAGGGGUCAGGAGGAUGGAGUGCCGCCCCACCCCCACUCUCACCAGCACACAAGUGGGACUGAAAGGUAGGAUCUGUAAGCCCAUCAAUUAGGGCUAUUAAAAAGGUAAUUAGCCCUCUUCUAUGGAAAC